GCGCAGCAGUCGCGAAAACUCCGCAAUACGCGAAAGCGUGACGGGGCCAUCCCGAGUGCCGUCCGCUGAGGAUGGCUUUUCCCUAGUGUAGAUAGCUGGGGGAAUAAGGAGAGGGCAAGUCUGGUGUCAGCCGCCGCGGUAAUACCAGCUCCCCGAGUGGUUGGGACGAUUAUUGGGUCUGAAGCGUCCGUAGCCGGCCGGAAAAGUUCCCCGUUAAAUCUGGCGAUCCAAUCGUUGGGCUGCGGGGAAUACUCUUCGGCGUGGGGGCGAGGGAGGUCGGCGGUAGUCCCGGGGUAGGGGCGAAAUCCUAUAAUCCCGGGAGGACCACCAGUGGCGAAGGCGGCCGACUAAAACGCGCCCGACGGUGAGGGACGAAAGCUGGGGGAGCGAACGGGAUUAGAUAUGAAGUUGAGUGUUUACCAGCUUCACUAGAAACCCCGGUAGUCC
rnacentral:rRNA from 1 species